UGGGGAAUCUUAGACAAUGGGGGAAACCCUGAUCUAGCCAUGCCGCGUGAGUGACGAAGGCCUUAGGGUCGUAAAGCUCUUUCGCCAGGGAUGAUAAUGACAGUACCUGGUAAAGAAACCCCGGCUAACUCCGUGCCAGCAGCCGCGGUAAUACGGAGGGGGUUAGCGUUGUUCGGAAUUACUGGGCGUAAAGCGCACGUAGGCGGACUAUUAAGUCAGGGGUGAAAUCCCGGGGCUCAACCCCGGAACUGCCUUUGAUACUGGUAGUCUUGAGUUCGAGAGAGGUGAGUGGAAUUCCGAGUGUAGCGGUGAAAUGCGUAGAGAUUGGGAAAAACACCAGUGGCGAAAGCGCCCUACUGGGCCGGUACUGACACUCAGGGACGAAAGCUAGGGGAGCGAAAGGGAUUAGAUACCCGCGUAGUCC
rnacentral:rRNA from 1 species